rnacentral:rRNA from 1 species
GAUGAACGCUGGCGGCGUGCCUAAUACAUGCAAGUCGAGCGAACAGACGAGGUGCUUGCUCCUAUGACGUUAGCGGCGGACGGGUGAGUAACACGUGGAUAACCUACCUAUAAGACUGGGAUAACUUCGGGAAACCGGAGCUAAUACCGGAUAAUAUCUUGAAACGCAUGGUUCAAUAGUGAAAGAUGGUUUUGCUUUACCUAAAAGAUAGAUCCGCUCCGCUUUGGCUAGUUGGUAAGGUAACGGCUAACCAAGGGAAGGUAGAUUAGCCGACUUGGAAGGGUGAUCGGCCACACGGGUACUGAGACACGGCCCAGACUCCUACGGGAGGCAGCAGUAGGGAAUCUUCGGCAAUGGGCGAAAGCCUGACGGGGCAACGCGGCGGGAGUGAUGAAGGUCUUCGGAUCUUAAAACUCUUUUAUUAGGGAAGAACAAAGGUGUAAGUAACUAUGCACGUCGUGACGGUACCUAAUCAGAAAGCCACGGCUAACUACGUG